rnacentral:rRNA from 1 species
GACGAACGCUGGCGGCGUGCUUAACACAUGCAAGUCGAACGGAAAGGCCCUGCUUUUGUGGGGUGCUCGAGUGGCGAACGGGUGAGUAACACGUGAGUAACCUGCCCUUGACUUUGGGAUAACUUCAGGAAACUGGGGCUAAUACCGGAUAGGAGCUCCUGCUGCAUGGUGGGGGUUGGAAAGUUUCGGCGGUUGGGGAUGGACUCGCGGCUUAUCAGCUUGUUGGUGGGGUAGUGGCUUACCAAGGCUUUGACGGGUAGCCUGCCUGAGAGGGUGACCGGCCACAUUGGGACUGAGAUACGGCCCAGACUCCUACGGGAGGCAGCAGUGGGGAAUAUUGCACAAUGGGCGGAAGCCUGAUGCAGCAACGCCGCGUGCGGGAUGACGGCCUUCGGGUUGUAAACCGCUUUCGCCUGUGACGAAGCGUGAGUGACGGUAAUGGGUAAAGAGGCACCGGCUAACUACGUG